CAAAAUCCGGUAACCGAUCAGAACCGUCCCUGUAAACCAAAAUCUGGUCUUGCACGCUGUCGCGACAGGAAAUGUCUUUUUCGCACAAGAAACAGUUCUCGCAUAUCUUGUUAGGACCUGCACAAUUCAAAGUUUAUAUCACAUUAUUAAUUACAUUAAUUUAUCCAUGCUAUAGGACUUUCUAAUUCUAAUAAUUUAUCGAAUAAUUGAAGUUUAUCAUCUUAAUUAAUAAUGAAACGAGAAACCUACCAUGGUAUUCAACAUGGUGGACCGGAGAGUAUCUUUCAUCAGCCUUGGCCUUUCUGUUUGUCUGCUCCGCGAGCUCUCUCGUUGCUCCCGUUGGCUGGCUACUCUUCUUCUUGAUCAAUGAUUUAGGUUUACCAUCUGCCUCCUUAGCAGCAGGCUUAUGCUGUGGCGGUUCAUCCAAUGUGCUUUCUACGACUAGUAAAAACGACAGCGAUGUUAAUCCAUAUUUGAAACAAAAUCUGCUAAACAUAAUACAAUAAACUAGAAAAUCUAGAGAUAAACAUGAACAAUUAUCUGUUAGGUAAUCAAAUAGAAGGAUUUAUAAAUUAUAUAUUUUCAGAAAUCUACAAGUUAGAAUCUAAAAAUGACAAUGAAAUUCAAAAUAAAAUCGAUUGAUCUUCUUAUGAUGGAAAACUCAAUAUUGAAGAGCGGUAGAGUACCUGUUUGUGUAUGAUUAGGUUUGCUCUUCUCCUUGGUUUUACCUUUUGGAGAUCCUACAAGAUUAUCACUAAGCUGCUUCCGUUCAGACGCUGAUUGGUUGGUUACCGUCCUGAUUUUAGAUUUCUGCUCAGCCACUUUGCUCACACCUUGAGACUUAACCUUAGCUGCUGGAUGAACUAUCCUGAAUGAUCUGCUUUUCCAGGUACAGGCUUCAGAAUCAGGAGCCUCUUCUUGCCUUCUAGAAUAUGAUUGAAUCUUCGCUCUGCUAAUACCAGUUUUCAAAUCAUAAUCUUGUUCCCCACUGGAAUUUGGUUGAAUCUUAAGUACUUCUCCACAAUCUGCUUGAAUCUUCACUCUCCUGCUACAACUAGAUUUGGUUUCGGAGGUACUGACUUUAGAAUCAUGAGCUUUUUGCCUUCCAGAAUCUGAUGGAAUCUUAGUUCUGUCGUUACUAUGAGAUGUUUUGACUGCUGGAGAAUUAUACGAGUUGGGUUUGGAGGAACUGGCUUCUGCAUCAUAAGCACAUUGACUAGGAAUCUCCGGCUUUCUGAUUUCUUGGGCCUUUCCAGGACUAUCUAUAACUGAUUUAUCUUUCAAGGUCCUAUUCGUAAGGGCAUGGUGUCGUACAGAAACUGAGUUCUUAGACAUUUGGCUGCUGGGUUCAGCCUUAAGUUUAACCGGUCGAGUAUCUUUAGCAGGAGUGUUUGGUUUGCUCAUGGUUUCUCUGCCCUUAAUUGGAAGACGAGAACCCUUGCAAGGCUCAAUCCUUCUUUUCCAGUCACAGGCACUCAUCCCUGGUUAGAAGACGAAAAAGGAAACUUGUUCAGACAACGCCGUUUUCUUCAAGCUCCAUAACAAAAUUUAAAAAAAAAAAAAAAACCCUAAAAAAAUCUACAGUAGCAGUGACGGAGACAACCAGAAAAUUGAAAUUAAUAAUCAAUUUGCUUAUUUCAAGAAGACAAAUUAUACUCAAAGAAAUAAAUAAACACGAAUUAUCAAACAAAAACUCGUCAAAUCGGCUUGUAUUACUUGACUUUCGUUAAACGCAAAUCAAAAGAGUCAGAAAGAAACAUUCUUGUCAAACAAUAUCUCUUCAUAUAUAUAUAUACACACACGUAUAUGUGUACAUAUAUACAUAUAAGCAUGAUUCUGAAAUUUCACAAUAUGAGUAGAAGGACGAAAGAAAAAGAAAAGGAAAUACCAAUUGGAGGUAUGUGAGUAUGAGAGAGAGUGGCUUCAGAACCUAAAGAACAGGGAAGACUGAUUUUGCGUUGGCCUCUCUGACUCUGCGAGUGAAUUAGAACGAGGGGUUCCGGGAGCUCUAUAUAUAAUUUUGGGUGUGGGGCCCACGAGAUCUAAUAUACUCCUCUUCGUUAUGUAAUCGGAAAAGGAAACUAAAAGGCAGUGGGACCCACGAGAUUCUUCGAAUAGGAAACGGGGUUUUGUUUUUGUUUUUGUUUUUUGGUACUUUAAAUAUAUAUAGUUAUUUUUUUAAUAAAAAAUCUAGAAAUUAGAUCUCAAAAAUAAAAGCAAGGAUAAACUAUUUGUUAUAAUUAAUUCUUAUCCUUAUUUUACUUCACAAAAAUUUCCAGUAAAAAUUUAAAAUAAAUAUAUUUUCUGAUUUUGAUUUUGUAAAAUCAAAAUCAUGUGAUUAUUCAAAUAAUAAAAAAUAAAUAAAAUAAUUUUCUAAAAAAGCAAAAAAUAUUAGUUUAAUAUAUAUUUUAUGCACAAAACUAUUUUUUAAAAAAAAUAUUAUCUAAAACGGUUCGUUUUAUAUGAAGACAAAAUCCCAAAUAAUGAAUAAAUUUAUUUCAGUAAUUGAUUCUCAACUUCGAGCAAUAAUCCAGCAAAUAAACUCAGCAAACAGAACUUGAUCCAGCCAUCUCAAGGCAUGUUUUUCAUAGCUUCAACUACUAAAGAUCCAAGGAGCCAGAAAAUACUAUUCACAGUUUUUUUUUUUUUUUACAAUAUGGAACAGAGUAGCUUCUGUUCUUUUUUUUUUUUUUUUUUUGGUUAAUGUACAAAGGGAGAGAUUAAGCUAAAUCAGAGAUAAUCAGCUGUACAAAGGGAAAAUCAUGAUCAACUCCCUCCCAUGAGGAAAUAAAGAUUUUGAAUGUCAUUGGAGUAGUUUUUAUGUAUAUACAGUUGGUUUUCUUCCAUCAUCUCUAACCUGCUUNNNNNNNNNNNNNNNNNNNNNNNNNNNNNNNNNNNNNNNNNNNNNNNNNNNNNNNNNNNNNNNNNNNNNNNNNNNNNNNNNNNNNNNNNNNNNNNNNNNNCCACAGAUUCAGCAGACAAGUAGUAGUUUGAGCAGUUCCGGGUGAUCGCCUCAUAAUGCCCCUUAGAUUUGAGAACAAAUGCACCUAUUUCAUGGACUUCUAGGCGACCAAAAGAGAUCUUUUCUUUAUUUGCCUGACGUAGGUUCAGCAAACUUAAAAUAAGUAUUGCGUACGUACAGAUUGAAAAGGAAAAGUGCAAGAAUUUACAACAUGACCACAAAACAGCACAAAGUGGACAUUUUUAGAGGGAAGUAAUAACCGAUGCAGUAGUUAGUCAACUACCAAGAAACUUAAGGAGAACAGAAGGAAACAUACUCAUGAGACGAGGAAGUUUAGAACAAUGUACCUGCUUCUCAAGUUGAUGCUUUGUGUACAACGUUUUAACCAAAUCUUUCUUUUCUUGUAACUCAUUCCUAAGCUGUUCAUUUGCAGCUUCAAUCUUUGGGUACUUCUCAAUCAGCUCGUCUCGAUGCCUAGACAAGAAACUAACCUUGUCCGCAAGGAUACGAAUACAUUUUCGGAACUCAGCAGUACCAUCAUCUUCAUUGUCAGCAAUGGAACUGCAAAUUUUCGAAGUUAAGGUCAAAACCAAAAGGCCUUAGCACAUAAAUUUACCAGAUUAAAGCUCCUUCAGUAAAAUUUAAGAUAUCGAAAACCCGCCCAAAAAAUACCUUUCAAGAAAAGACCUAUCGGCUGAAAGAUAAAGGCCAAUAGUGGGCAAUAGAAGAGGGCUCAGGUUGAAAAUUUUUUAAGAGAAAAAUUUUGGAGCAUCAUAGUAACUUACUUGGACAGAAGGGAUUGAGCUAAUGCACGCAAAGCAUCGGCAAAGCCAAUCACUCCACCAGGUGCAUAAACACAGCUCCUAAGCCUCUCAAACAAGCCACGCAUUUUCACAGCAGAAGCUCUCAGUGCACUAUACUCUGAGGCUCUUCGGUCUGCAGCACAGAGAUGAGUUUGGGCUUCUUCUCUUGCUUCAUGCAAACAAUUCUCUAAGUGGGCACAGUUCAUCUGUUAUUCAAAUAAAAGAACAUCAAUUGCUAUAGAAUUAUUAUAGAUAUUUGAUGUAGGCAUACAAAUGAGAUGAGAAGGAGAAAGACUGUCUUUUGAGAUGGUAAAGAAAAUCCAGAACUUUAUUUACAGGAAACUCAGGAUUUUAUAAAGUUAUAGAAUCUUUUAGGACCGAACAUAUGAAAGAAAUCAGUGAUUAAGAUACCAUGACAUCAAUCAGAUAAAAUUUAACACGACAAGCACAAAGUAGAGAAAAUCCAGAACUUUAUUUAACAGGAGACUCAGAUUUUAUAAAGUUAUAGAAUCUUUUAGGACCGAACAUAUGAAAGAAGUCAGUGAUUAAGAUACCAUGACAUCAAUCAGAUAAAGUUUAACACGACAAGCACAAAGUAUUAUCAGGAGAAUGACCAGGAUCCUUGAACCAACCUACAAGGUAAAACUAGCUAAUAAGUUUAGUUUUAGAAAUCUGGUUGACUAGGGAAAAACUUCAUCUAAAGGGGGCCUGGUUGACGCAGGCAGCCCAGGCAUAUAGUACUUUUAGUCUUAUGAAGUGCUUGGGUUCAAUCCAGGGUGGUUCCACCCAGAUAAGAAGAAAACAAAAAGAGGGCCCGGUUGUAAUGUUGUCUUUAAAUUUCACUCCCUUAUAGUUCUAUGAUUUGAACUAGCAAAUAAAUUGUUAUGUAUUAUUGCAAACCUAAAAUCUUUGCGUCGGGUGUUGUCAUAGGCAAAGGUUUUUGCCUGAAAAAUAACCACAAAGAACCAAAUCUAUUUUUCCAUCUGCAAACCAACAUCUCUGACACAACAGUGGGACCAAACAUAACAUAUGAAAAUAUCCCAUACAUCUUCAAUCACUAUUCUUCCAGAGAGCACUCCAAUUCUAAUGAAGACUGAUGAUGGCCAUUCUUUAACAAAAUUUCACCCUAAUAGCAAUCUUGGAAAUUUGUUACAUUUUCACCACUCCACCAAAAGCUAUUAUUCCCAUCCCCACUUCCUAAAUAUUAUCUUCUAUCAUAUUAAGAUCAUCAACAGUUUACAUCCUACAUUGUCUUUAAUUGUUUCUGUUCAUCCUGAAGUUAAAUUGCAUACAAUGUUGCCAAAGAUCACCCUCUGACGAAAAAAAGAAAACAUAGUUCGACCAGACUAAAGAUGUGAAGGAGAUCAAUAGAGAAUGGAAAGAGGUAACUACUCCCUCUUUUCCCUCUCAUAGUUGGUGGAUAGUGAUAACCUAUUGUUGGGCCAAUCAUCUGUAGAAAUGGUAGACAUUAUUAAUAAACUGUUAUGAAGGUGUUUAACUCCUAGAUAUAUGGAAAACCAGGGGAAUCAUGCAAAGAGUUAUUUCAGGAGAAACCUAAAAUCAACUCAAGACAAAUUACACCAAGACUGCAACAGAAUCCCAUUUGACCAUCACCUUUCCCUGCACCACUUCUCUCCCCUUAACACCCCUCUCCUGGCAUUUAUUAAAAAAUAAAAAACAAAAAAAAAGGAAGGAAACAAAACAAAAGCAGCUGAAACAUUUAGGAACAGAGUAAUCAUGGUCAGAAACACAAGGAAUUAAAUAUGGAAAACCAUAAGGGGCCUAAUAAAAAGAAGCAUUCUGGAACUGAGAGGUUUAGGAAUUUGCUAAGCACGCCAUCAACAAUGAUCAAACCAGAGAAAGUUAUACCUGAGAUUCAUCAAGGAGCUUCUGACUCAUUUCCAAUUCUCUUCUAAGCACAGCAACUUCCUCCAUAGCAUCUUUAAGCCUAGUUUCAGUGUCACUCAAUUGGUUUGACUUGUCAACAAGUGCACUUUGCAAUUCCAACACACGUUCUGCACUAUCUUUAGAUUCUAAACCCAGCCCAGUAGCUAAGUCACAAGGUAAGAGAUUCUGAGGUACAGGCAUGCUCUCAGCAGUUGAACUGUUAGUCAGCGACAUGCCCAAUUGUCCUACCAUCUUAUCUUUUGCACCUUUCUCAUUUACUUGCAGCUCAUCACGAUGCUGCUCCAGCAUUGAUGAAUCCAACUGAGGAUUUAGCACUCCAGAAGAAUCCAUCAUAUUUUCAUCAACACCUUCUCGACCUUUGCCUGAUAGCCUAGUGAAAGGACCCAGUUUUGCAUCCAAAGAAUUUGAAAUACAUGAAACCUCAUCCAUGGGUUCAGUAGUAGAUAUAUAAGGGACAUUGACCUCUCUACCACAAGAGACCUCUUGUUUGCAGCCAUCAGAUUUUGCAGCCAAAAGGGUAAAGUCAGAGACAUCCUUAGUGUUAGGAAAUUUCUGCCCCUGCAAAUAUUGAUCAGAUAAUCUCUGCUCCAGUUCUUGAAUGCGCGUUUCAUAGGAAGCACACCGUAUUUGCUUUGCCUUGAUGAUAGAGUGGAGAUGUUUUAUAUAUUCAUCUUUCUCGUGCAAUGCUUUAUCAGUCUUCUCCUUAGCAUUCUUAAAUAAAUCAUCUAAUUUAUUAUCAUCCAAUGGCUGAUGUUCUGCUUGCGGGUGCAAAAAACAAAUAUAAGCUAUUUUUUCAGCAAGUUCAGCUUUCAGCCUUGCAUUCUCAACUUCCAUCUUGCUAGUACCAGCAAUAUCUACCAACUCAGAGCCCUCAAGGAAGUCCUCAGAGUCCUCUUUCUCCAGAGUUUCAACAGAAAUCUCUUCAGUCUCAACUGAAUGAGAGCUAUGAUUUGACAUGGAAACUGAACUCUUUGAGGUCAAAAGCUUCACAGGGGAUCCAGCUAAAUACUCCGGAGCAUAGUAUUCCACAUCCGAAAUGUCAAUAUCAAGCAAAUUAGUGUCAAAAGGAACUAUAUUGACAUCACACUGACUGGGAGUAGUAUAUAAACCCAUAGAAGCAAAUAUAUCUCUUGGUAUGUAUGCACUCUGUGCUUUGAGAAACUCCUCACGUUUCCUUACCUCAGCCUCCCUCUCUGUCGCAAGCCUUUCAGCCAGCUGUCCGGCCUUGCCCAUGUAAAUCUUCAUGGAAGCUUUUCUUCUCACAAUUUCUGCAAGGCAGGCCCUAUAUGCAGGGCCAAUCCCAUGAAUCACUUUUAGGUCAGUAAAUUGCUCUUCCUGACGAGCCAUUGCCUCUUUAAAGACAGGAAACUGAAAUUUAACAUCUUUGAUGACAGAUGUAACAUGUGUUAUCUUUUGCAUAUAAUUGUGGACAAAAAUAUUCAUUUCAUUCUUCUUAUCCUUGCAAAUAUCAAGCAGUUUGGAUAUCAAAUGAUCACAAGUUUGCAUCCUAGGCAGGUGAUUCUUGUCAUGGACAUCAUACAUCGGACCCAGAGCUGAAACUGCAUCAUGUGGACGAAGAGAGGAGGAUAACUGGCAGGAGAGACAAUCAUCCACAAGCUUCUUCACUGUGUUGACAUCUUUGCUGCAUGAAGAUGCAAAAGUUCCAGUUACUUUUUCAUAUAUUGUUUUUGUAACAUUUUUUUACCAUGUAACCAAUAAUCAGGAUAAUGCAAGACGCAAACACACAGAAGAACCAACUAAAGUGUGAUAUGAUCACUGAAUGAUAUGGUAAACGAUCAUCAGCGGAGCCAACAUCAUGUUUGAACAGGGG
rnacentral:lncRNA from 1 species